AACGCAUAUUGCACUCCCUGGCAUUCCGGGGAGUAUGCCUGUUUCAGUAUCAUAAAGUAACUCAAGCAUUCCUUUUCUUGGGGGAUGAAUUUGGAUGUGGGUUAUGCAAAAAAAAAAAUUUUUUUUUGGCUUUUGCUGACCUUAAAUGCAUCUGCGAGGUUCAAUUUUUCGGGCAAUUAAGGCGUCAUAGUUGGCCUUGGCCAUCUUUCGCCGAGCUUUUGAAUUGGAACUCGCGGACCAAUCCCUCUCCUAUUUUUGGUGGGAGCAGGGAAAAGGCCGAGAUUGGCCUUUUGAUUUUUCAAACUUGAUCUGAAAUUAGGUAGGAAUACCCGCUGAACUUAA
rnacentral:misc_RNA from 1 species